UGCUCAGUAAUGAUUGAAUGAGAGCCUGA
rnacentral:piRNA from 1 species